AAAUUGAAGAGUUUGAUCAUGGCUCAGAUUGAACGCUGGCGGCAGGCCUAACACAUGCAAGUCGAACGGUAACAGGAAGCAGCUUGCUGCUUCGCUGACGAGUGGCGGACGGGUGAGUAAUGUCUGGGAAACUGCCUGAUGGAGGGGGAUAACUACUGGAAACGGUAGCUAAUACCGCAUAACGUCGCAAGACCAAAGAGGGGGACCUUCGGGGCACCUG
rnacentral:rRNA from 1 species